rnacentral:misc_RNA from 1 species
UUUUCGUAGGUGAACCUGCGGAAGGAUCAUUCAUAAUAAAGUGUUUUAUGGCACUUUUUUAAAUCCAUAUCCACCUUGUGUGCAAUGUCAGGGUUGAUUUUUCUCUCGAGAGGAUCAACCCCAAACAUCAACUAUAUCUCAACUCUUUGUCUGAAAAAUAUUAUGAAUAAAACAAUUCAAAAUACAACUUUUAACAACGGAUCUCUUGGCUCUA